GUGUCUUAGUAUAUCAAAAAUUCGGUUGCAUUUUUUUUUUUCAAAUCGGUCGUUGGAAGUUGAUGUUCUUGCCGUUGUGUAAGGCCUGCGUAAUCCGGUGUUAAUUCCUGGUGUCGAUUUCUACCGGCGAGGGCCGCAUCUCCGGCAGCGAUUGUCUACUUCGGAGACCCAAGACGACAUCCAACGACGAUCCGGCAAACCUAUCUCCUACAUGUCACAUAUCCGGUAAAAUUGGAUGGUUACAAAUGCAUCUUUCGAGGUGAUCUACCGACAAUUGCCGGAAUCCGCUUCCUGAAGACGGCAGACUACGUGUGGCGGUGAAACCGCUGCUAAUACAACUAAAUGAGCAAAUGAAACGAUACAGGCGACCGUUGGUGAUUUUAAGGCGAUGGUUCAUUUCCAUCGACUGUUGCCCACCGACUUACCUGAUUCAUCCGCCAUAUCAUACUAUACCGGAGAUGUUGUAGAGAAAAAAUCCAAAAUUAAAGAGAUAUAAAGAGAGGAAUAAGUGGAUAAAGAAUUGAAGAGGCGGAAAUGAGGACCAAAGUGUAAAAUGCAGGGACCAAAGUGUUUUAAU
rnacentral:lncRNA from 1 species